rnacentral:rRNA from 1 species
GCAAAACCGGGGGGAGGGGAGACGGGAGUACGUAGAAGCACAGGGUGAUCUGGAAUAAUUGGGGUCAAAGGGUCCGUAAGAGGCCUUAUAAGUCAGUGGUGAAAUCUCCGAGCUAAACUAGGAAAAUGCCAUUGAUACUGUAGGGCGUGAAUUAUUGUGAAGUAACUAGAAUAUGUAGUGUAGCGGUGAAAUGCUUAGAUAUUACAUGGAAUACCAAUUGCGAAUGCAGGUUACUAACAAUAUAUUGACGCUGAUGGACGAAAGCGGGGGGAGCGAACAGGAGUAGAUACCCCAGUAGUC